GUUAGCACGUUUGCCUUCCAAUAUUCGAUUGAGUUGUCAGUGUCAGUGGUUCGAGGCUCAACCAGGCCAGAAGAAAAAAUCGGUUGUCAGACGUGUACACAAAUACACAGCUGGUUGAAUCCAUUCAUAAAAAUCUGGGAUGGUUUUGUUCCGAGCUGUCA